CGGAAGGUCCUUCAGUGUUUGUUCAAACACCGGAAUAACAUCCGGGAGACCGCCUAUGCCUUUCCCAUCCAACUGUCUUCUCUGCGUCUCUUCCAAUCACUACACUAUUUUCAUCAGGCAGAUGGUCGGUAGUUUGGU
ensembl:ncRNA K04D7.11 ncRNA